UCCUAGCUUGUUGGUCUCUGAGCUGAAGGAAAGGAAAGAAAAGGGAAAAUCAUGCUAUCCAAAAUAAUACAAUUCUUUCUUAAAAAGAAUAACAAAGUUGUCCCAGAAGGACUGCUGAAGAAAAGGCCCUGCAUUCUCCUCAUCCUCCAGAAGAGCAACAGAAUCCAACCUAUGCAGACUCUUGGAAAUUCCUCCAAGAAGUACCUUCUGGGUUUUGCCUGAAGGCUGGGAUGCUUCUGACCUCAGUACAGAGAAAGUCCAAGAGGGGCAGGAUCUCCUCCAAACUGAGACAUCAUCGCUAUUAGAAAUGGGACAUCAUUGCUGUGGCAUCAUCGCUAUUGAAAAUGGUGGUAAAAAGCCUAGAAGAUGAUAGAAUGCAGGAGAGACCAAGGUUAUAAUGGGGAGGAGUUGUUAAAAAGGAGCAGAAAUCUCUAAUAUAUGAUUCUAAUCUUCAAGAGAAAUGAAUCUUUUGUCACCUGAAUAAGUAUUUCAACCAUCUAAGCAGGUCUCAUUUUUCUGGAUCCUGCAAUGGGUGGACCAUAAAUUUCACCCUCUUUCUGCUUGAUGUAUUGUGAGGUGGGGGUUGUGAUGCCCAUAAGUUUACUGUCUUAAUUUCAGAUUCCCAGGCUUCCAAUUCUGUUUUGAGGAUGCAAGGGAAAAUAUGGCACUGCUUAAGAUAAGCAACCAUUUCCCCUUCCUUCUUACUUUUCCCAAAGAAAAUCAAACUGUUGGCUCAGCCAUCAAGCACUGAGAUGCAAGAAUGUACAUCCCAGUUCACAAAACUUUUUAGAGAGGGGCUUAAUUCCUCCCCACUUUUAGGUUCCCUUAAUUUUUAAAAAAAAUUUCUGAGAAGCAAAAUUCCCCUCAUUGAUUCUGAUACAUCCUGAGAGCACUAGUCUCUUUUCCUCUACCACAUGAAUAAAAAAAAAAAGGAGAAAAAAGAGAGAAGUUUAAAAAAGUGUUUUCCCUGGACACAAAGUUGCCUACCCUUCCAUGGGGCAAAAUUGGCUAUGUCUACAGGCGUCAAAGCAGGUUCUUUACGAACUGAAAUACUAAUACACACCCAUAAAACCAUACCCUAAAUAAGGGAAGGUGGCAUAGAAACUAUGAGGAUAGCAGGAUUUCCACUGUCAUAGGGAAAUUAAUGAUGGAAUCUACUUUCUCUUCCAUCAGAUCAUACAGUACUGGAGGAUCUAAAAAAUCUGGAGCUGUUGACCUCUGGAGAAGAAAUGGCAAAGUGAAGAUGGCUCCACUAAAAGUAGAGCUGAUGACCAUAGUAGAAUGAAGAGCUGGCAAGUAGAGCAGCUUUGUCAUUCCUCUCUGGACAAGGAAAAGACUUGAGAUCGCCACAGUGCUUCAUACAGUUGCUCCUUGCAAGAAGACCACAAGUCAGCAGUCUUCAGUGGGUUUAGAAUUCUCAGUCACAAGGGAAUAACUUAUCUUUUUACUCAAAUUGUAGUAGGUGCCUUCAAAAGGACACUGGGUUUACAUAUUUUCUUUUGUAAUCAAUUUUAGCAUUUUGUAAUCAAUAUUAUUCUAUUCUAUAUUAUAUUGAAGAUUAAAUAUUUAAGAGCGUUUGAACAAAA